GUUCCUUUUACAAUAUACUACCAAUACACCAAUAUAGAAGGAUCUGAGUCUCUCCCUGCGGAGACAGCCCUGAAGAACUCCUGUAACGUCAAGCUGGCAAUUUCCAAGAAGCAAUCUGGAACCUGCAUUUCCAAAGAGACCCACAAGAAAGAAAAGACGUGAGGUUGGGAAGCACUGGUGCCAGAGCCCUCACUAGCGGGUGCUGCCUGUUUCUUGGGUAGUGGGCUAGGAGCAUCCCUGCUCUAGUGGCCCCUGAUUCUGCAACCCUAGGACUCCUCUGCUUCCUCAUCAGACACAAACCUUGAUAAGACAGCUCCAGUGAGAAAGCCCUGGGAGAAGGUGAAUUAAGGACACUUCCUUUGUAGGAGGAGCUGAUCUCGCUAAUGGGCGACUUUUUAACUAAGCAGGUCAGAAAAUCUUACUGAAAGUAAAUCUGUGGCUCAAAGAGACUUCGGUAUUCUUUUCCCUAGUACUAACUGUGGAAAGGAGUGCCCCCAAGCUUCUGACUGUCAUACCUCAUUCCACUGCCUUUUAGGGCUGGGUCUGAAGAGCUUACACUCCUGCUUUCAGAGCUGGUUGACGGGGGUGCUGUUCUAGAAUCCUAACCCAGACUGGCACCAUGAAUGAUGGGUUGCCCCACUGCCAAGCUCCAGACCCAGCUUGGCUUGGGGCUUGCUGCCACUGCAGGUCAAAUGACCACCCUAUGUGGAAAGAUGCAGCAGUGCUGCCUGUCCCAUACUGGCCGUGACCCCUUGAGCCUCAGAAAGGGAGACAUGGACAAUUUUCCCCACAGGUAGUCUUAGCUUUCCAAACAUACUCUGACUCACCAGUCAACCAGUGGAUGACCACAGUUCUUGUAUUUUUUGGAGGUAUCAAUAAACCACUCUUUGUGAUCACAGUCAAGGGAGAAGUCAAGAAGAGGGAAGUGUAAUCUGUGACCAGAUAUACCCGGCACCUGCAGAAUCAGAUGCCAGCCUAACAGCUGUCAGCUGUGCAUGAGGCAACAUGCAUCUCUUGAUUAGGAAUGUGCGCCAGUGACACCUAGGCUCACCUUUCACUGACGCUUUACCUCUGAGGUGCCACCAGUGUGCCUUCAUAGGGAUCCCCGAGGGACUGAGCUUGAGUGUUGUUUAUUGUUAUUUCCAGAAAGGAUUUGAGGUGACUUGCUAUGGAAGGCCCACUGAUACAUUUUCAAGGGAAAAUACAGAUAAGAAUCAAAUCAUGAAAAGCAUAGAAAUUGUUGAGAAAACCUAGGCCAAGACUAGGUGCCACAACUGAGCUCAGCAUUCAGUCCUGAGCCUCCUGGCACUAAGGCAAAAAGGUCAGGAAGUUAUGUAACUUGAUAAUGACAGGGUAUUCAGUCUAAGAUGGUGUAACACCUGGCAGCCCUCUCACUAAGCUUCAGAAUGAAGACUGGCUGUUGACUCAGUUUGCUGCUUCCACCUGUUGCCCAAGUGAAGAUGUUGAGGCUGUAAUCUUUGUGGAUGAUACAGAGAUUGGCCCAGGCUGCCCUGGCUCUCAGUAACUUAAGGAGACACAGAAGAGGGAUCUUUCCUAAAACUCGAAUCAUAUAGGGAAGACACUCAUCAGAUCUCAUGGGAACCCAGUACAUGGUCUUACCUCAAAGUCAUUUCCCUUGUUGUAGUGCAUAUUGAGAGCUUGAAAAAGUUCUGAAUUGCGGAGAACCACCAGCAUUUUGGGAUUUGUGACACCAUCUGAAAUUGCUUGCCGGGCAGAUUUUUCCAUUUGGAUGUAAUAAAACUCACGAAAGUUGCUGAACCACUUGAUCAUCUGGGAGGUAAUGCAGCGGUUGAACUGUACAAACAAGAGGUCCAUCCAGUCAGACAUUUGCCACGAGGUGCUCAGAAUUAGAACUGUCUGCUUCCAGCUCAGUAUAGGGGUUCAUAUACGGCUUUAACCAGCAUUAACAGGGGCUUCCUUUAAAAAAAGAAGCGAAGCCACCGCUAUUUUCCAAGCCUAUUUAGUUAUACUCAGAAAAAUCUAAAUUAGCUACAGUGCCCAUUAGAACAUAACUUUUUUUUGAUAUGCUAGAUUUAUGGGGGUUGUUUUACCCAUGAAAAGCUUUUUGUGGUGUUUGAGUGGGACUUAGGGGUCACGACCAGUGUGGUGCCAGAUUUUGCUGCACCCAGGUGGACUGCAUGGCAGGCCUGGGGCCUUCCACUUGGAUAAAGGGCCAAGGGAAGGGCAAGAUGUAGGUCAGGGAGCAGUUUAUUAGCAACUUUGAAUUGUGGAAUGAAUUGAAAUCAAAAUCAGAGGUUGCUUCAGGGAUCAACCAACCAACUGAAUAUGAGGGAAAGAAAAGCUUGAAUGAUGUAGACCAAAAGUAUUAACAGCCCCUAACCCAACACCCAAAGUAAAAGAGGCCCUCAGAAACCUUUUAUGGGAACAGGGGAGGUCUGGUCCCAACAAUUAGUUUGAUUUUCCUUAUUGUCACACUUCAUCUGUAUGUACUUUCACUCAGUUUUGAACUAUAGCAAUUUGAACAUAAAUUUGACAGUGUCUGACACUCUGUCUCUCUCUCCCUCUCUAUAUAUAUUUUUUGUUGUUUGUUUGUUUGUUUUUGUGUGUUUUUUUUUUUUUGAGAUGUAGUCUCGCUUUGUCGCCCAGGCUGGAGUGCAGUGGCGUGAUCUCUGUUCACUGCAACAUCCACCUCCUGGGUUCAAGUGAUUCUCCUGCCUCAGCCUCCGAGUAGCUGGGAUUACAGGCGCACGCCACCACGCCAGCUAGUUUUUGUAUUUUUAGUAGACAUGGGGUUUUACCAUGUUGGUCAGGCUGGUCUCGAACUCCUGACCUCAGGUCAUCUGCCCACCUCGGCCUCCCAAAGUGCUGGGAUUAGAGGCAUGAGCCACUGUGCCUGGCCUAUAUUUUAUUUUUCAUAGUGUCCCCAGCCAAGGCAGAAAACUAGCCAAAAAGGCCACUAACUAGUGUUUCUGUUUCCCUCUACUUUUCCUGCCCAUGUGUUUCUGUUUUGGGGAUUAUCUACAGCUCAGUAGCUUAAGAAUUUAGACAGCCAGCCUUUCUAGCCUAAAGUUAUUCACGGUUAUUUGGGUAGAGUCUCAGCCCAGAACUGGACAUUGCUUCCAUCAGCAACACUAAGGGGAGCUUGAAGUGCACAUAUGAUGACCUAGGACUUGCCUCACACCAGGCAAAACACACUGCCUCUUGGGAGUUCUGCAGAAGCUGCCAUUUAGUUGAGUGACUUUACCUGAACAUCAGGAAAAUAAACCUUCAGGAGGUUGGAGCUGGGAUAUCGUGUGAAGAAAAACAUUAGUUUGGCCUUCUUCAAGUGACCAGGGUUUAGACCCUCCUGGAUUUAUCUCAGUGUCAAGGAAAAUGAACACUUUAAAAUGCCAGUUUAUCAAUUAACUAGUGAAUUCCUUGUUCCUGUGGUUUCUAUUUGAUUUCAUUUUGUUUUUCUGAUUGGAAUUGUGUAUUUGCUCCAUUUUUCUGUCUCUGGAAACUCUGGUCAAAUAAGCUGGAUGACAUAUGUGCACAGUUAAGUCACAGAAUGUAAAAAUCAUCUCGAUGUGGAAAAGUUAUGUAGCAUAGAUGAUGUCAAAUACAGGUUGGUGUAUUUUGUGUGUGUGUGUGUGUGUGUGUGUGUGUGUGGUGUCUUAGAUGUCAAAUACAGGUUGGUGUAUUGUGUGUGUGUGUGUGUGUGUGUGUGUGUGUGUGUGUGUGUGUGGUGUCCAAGUGGGAUGGGAAGAGAUGGCAAUUCUAUCCCAGAUAAACCAUUUCAAAACCCCAAGCAGAGAUUUACUUCCCCUCUCUGCCUCAGUUUCCUCAGCUGUAAAACGAGAAGAGUAAACUAGGUGGUCCCCAUUCUGGCUGUCACUCUUAUCAUUGCCUUCACAGUGUUGCCUUUAUAACCAGCAAACAUCUAAGCAGGCUGAAUACCAGCUCAUAUUUUGCUCUUGCUCAAGAAGCUUGAAUGGUUGGGUGGUACCCACUCUCCAUUUGCCUGGCAGAACUAUCCCUCAUCUUUCAGGUCUCAGCUCAGAAGCUCCCACCUCUGUUAAACCCUUCCUUGCCAAAUUAGGCCUUCCUUACCCUGGGCUAUGAAGACUCUUUGUACAAACUGUUGCAGCGAUGACCUUAUUGGAAUUUUUACUGUAUGUUUGUCUCGUCUAGACUGUGAGCUCCUUGAGAGUGAGGACCUUAUCUUUUCAUCUUUGUGCCUAGCCCAGUGCUAGGAACAUAGCAGGUGCUCAAUAAAUAUUUGUUGUGUGAAG
rnacentral:lncRNA from 10 species